rnacentral:rRNA from 1 species
UUUUACUAGAGUAUAGCCCAGAGAAAUUUGGAUUAAUCCUGUAUAAUAUCUUUUAAUUUCAUGAUUUUAAGAUUAAAGUUUUAACGGUAAAAGAUGAGCAUGCGUCCUAUUAGUUUGUAGGUGAGGGAACGGCUCACCUAGACUACGAUAGGUAGGGGCCCUGAGAGGGGGAUCCCCCACACUGGUACUGAGACACGGACCAGACUCCUACGGGAGGCAGCAGUAAGGAAUAUUGGACAAUGGACGAAAGUCU